GAUGAACGCUGGCGGCGUGCCUAAUACAUGCAAGUCGAGCGAACAGACGAUGAGCUUGCUCCUUCGACGUUAGCGGCGGACGGGUGAGUAACACGUAGGUAACCUACCUAUAAGACUGGGAUAACUUCGGGAAACCGGUUCUAAUACCGGAUAAUAUUUCGAACCGCAUGGUUCGAUAGUGAAUGAUGGCUUUGCUAUCACUUAUAGAUGAACCUGUGCCGUAUUAGCUAGUUGGUAAGGUAACGGCUUACCAAGGCAACGAUCCGUAGCCGACCUGAGAGGGUGAUCGGCCACACUGGAACUGAGACACGGUCCAGACUCCUACGGGAGGCAGCAGUAGGGAAUAUUGCACAAUGGGCGCAAGCCUGACCGAGCCACACCGCGUGAGUGAUGAAGGCCUUCGGAUCGUAAAGCUCUGUUAUUAGGAAAGAACAACAGCAUAUGUAAACGCGCAUGUCCUGACGGUACCCAAUCAGUAAGCACCGGCUAACUUCGUG
rnacentral:rRNA from 1 species